rnacentral:rRNA from 1 species
GGGACACGUGGUAUCCUGUCUGAAUAUGGGGGGACCAUCCUCCAAGGCUAAAUACUCCUGACUGACCGAUAGUGAACCAGUACCGUGAGGGAAAGGCGAAAAGAACCCCGGCGAGGGGAGUGAAAAAGAACCUGAAACCGUGUACGUACAAGCAGUGGGAGCCUCUUUUAUGGGGUGACUGCGUACCUUUUGUAUAAUGGGUCAGCGACUUAUAUUCUGUAGCAAGGUUAACCGAAUAGGGGAGCCGAAGGGAAACCGAGUCUUAACUGGGCGUUAAGUUGCAGGGUAUAGACCCGAAACCCGGUGAUCUAGCCAUGGGCAGGUUGAAGGUUGGGUAACACUAACUGGAGGACCGAACCGACUAAUGUUGAAAAAUUAGCGGAUGACUUGUGGCU